AGUCCAAAAUAUAUGGGCCAAAAAAAUGUUUCCAAAGAAAAAAAAUAAAAAUUUGCCUUGCUCGCAAGAAAAGGAAGGAAGUUUAAAUAUUUAAUCUAGAAUGUCAAGCUCAACAUCUUCUACUGAGGCCGGGACCUCUCCUCCAAGACGUCGGCGUAGACAUGAUACGUCAUCAUCUGCGGAGGAGAGGCCUCGCGGCCCAGAGACCGCUGGAGAGGAGGAAGUUGGUGGUGGAGGACAUGAAGCGGCCGCUCGUCCCGUUGACUCCAAUAGAGGUCGUCAAUCAAAAGCCAGAGGAAGUCGGGGAGCCCAGCGGCG